GGCACAGAGACAAUAAUAUGCAUACACAAACAGCCACGGUCAGUAUUUUAAGUAUAUCUGCCAAUCAGAUGUGAAUUAUGUUAUCCACUUUGAUGUUCUUUUUCAUGUUGAGGAUCGGAGUCUUCCCUUUUCCCACAGAAACAUAGAAACACGCCUGAACGCAAAUCAAGCAUCGCUUUUACCUUGGGGUAAAUGGUAACGAAGUAAUAGACAUUUCAAUCAGUUUGGGAUUUUAAAAGCCCAGUUAACAUUUAUUUACUAUGAAUGCCAGAG